UUCCCGGUUGAUCCUGCCGGACCUGACUGCUAUCGGAUUGGUACUAAGCCAUGUGAGUCAUUGUAGCAAUACAAGGCAGACGGCUCAGUAACACGUAGUCAAUCUACCCUAUGGACGGGGAUAACCUCGGGAAACUGAGGAUAAAACCCGAUAGAUCAUAAUGCCUGGAAUGGUUUAUGGUCCAAAUGAUUCGUCGCCGUAGGAUGGGACUGCGGCCUAUCAGCUUGUUGGUGAGGUAAUGGCCCACCAAGGCUAUUACAGGUACGGGCUCUGAGAGGAGGAGCCCGGAGAUGGACACUGAGACAAGGGUCCAGGUCCUAUGGGACGCAGCAGGCGCGAAAACUUCGCAAUGGGCGAAAGCCCGACGAGGUUAGUCCGAGUGUUUUCUGCUAAAGGAAUCUUUUGUCAGCUCUAAAUAGGCUGGCGAAUAAGGGGUGGGCAAGCCUGGUGUCAGCCGCCGCGGUAAGACCAGCACCCCGAGUGGUCGGGAUGUUUAUUGGGCCUAAAGCAUCCGUAGCCGGUUCUGCAAGUCUUCCAUUAAAUCCACCUGCUCAACAGUUGGGCUGUGGGAGAAACUGCAUGACUAGGAGGCGGGAGAGGCGAGGGGUAUUCCUUGGGUAGUGGUAAAAUGCUCUGAUCCAUGGAGGACCACCAGUGGCGAAGGCGUCUCGCCAGAACGUGCUCGACGGUGAGGGAUGAAAGCUGGGGGAGCAAACCGGAUUAGAUACCCGGGUAGUCCCAGCCGUAAACGAUGCAGGCUCGUGAUGGAUUGGCUUCGAGCCAAUCCAGUGCCGCAGGGA
rnacentral:rRNA from 1 species